GAGGCAUUUCUUCUGGUUCACUAUCUUCAUCUUCAUUGAAAGCCGCUGCUACAGAAAGGGUUUUUGGAGCAAGGGUUGGAACGGGCUCUUUAGGCUUAUUUGCUGCUAGUUUGAUGGAUAUUGCAGAUGCCUUCUUUGAUGUCUGACUGCCUAUGGAAAAUCCAAACUUGGACAUUUUGGCAGGGGCAGGCUUUGUGGUGAAGUCUUCAGCUUCUUCAUUAGCUGCCCGUUUCUCUGCGCUGCGACUCGAACUUUCCCCUCCAUUACUCCUGCGGGCGGCGGCCGCCUCGCCUUCUCCCCCUCCGCUCUGCCGUCCGCCAUUUUCCCCCGCCUCC
rnacentral:lncRNA from 1 species